UAGAGUUUGAUCCUGGCUCAGAACGAACGCUGGCGGCGUGGAUUAGGCAUGCAAGUCGAACGCGAAAGAGGGGGCAACUCCUCGAGUAGAGUGGCGAACGGGUGAGUAACACGUGAGAAACCUGCCUUCAGCAGGGGGAUAACACUCCCAACGGGGUGCUAAUACCGCAUGAGACCACGGGUCCGCAUGAACCUGAGGUCAAAGGUGGCCUCUGCUUGCAAGCUACCGGCUGAAGAUGUCUCGCGUCCCAUUAGCUAGUUGGUGGGGUAAUGGCCCACCAAGGCGACGAUGGGUAGCUGGUCUGAGAGGAUGGUCAGCCACACUGGGACUGAGAUACGGCCCAGACUCCUACGGGAGGCAGCAGUCGAGAGGCUUUGGCAAUGGGGGAAACCCUGACCAAGCGACGCCGCGUGAGGGAUGAAGGCCCUUGGGUUGUAAACCUCUUUUGUCGGGGAAGAAACGCGAUCAGGUGAACAAUCUGGUCGUUUGACGGUACUCGGCGAAUAAGCUCCGGCUAACUCCGUGCCAGCAGCCGCGGUAACACGGGGGGAGCAAGCGUUGUUCGGAAUUACUGGGCGUAAAGGGUGUCUAGGCGGUUGAGUAAGUGAGAUGUGAAAUGCCCCGGCUCACCCGGGGACCUGCAUUUCAUACUGCUCAGCUCGAGUACGGGAGAGGAUGAGGGAAUUCCUGGUGUAGCGGUGAAAUGCGUAGAUAUCAGGAGGACACCGGUGGCGAAAGCGCUCAUCUGGUCCGAUACUGACGCUGAUGCACGAAAGCUAGGGAGCAAACGGG
rnacentral:rRNA from 1 species